UACAGAGGGUGCAAGCGUUGUUCGGAAUCAUUGGGCGUAAAGGGCGUGUAGGCGGUUUGUUAAGUCAUGUGUGAAAUCCCUCGGCUCAACCGGGGAACUGCGUCUGAUACUGGGAGGCUUGAAUCCGGGAGAGGGAUGUGGAAUUCCAGGUGUAGCGGUGAAAUGCGUAGAUAUCUGGAGGAACACCGGUGGCGAAGGCGGCAUCCUGGACCGGUAUUGACGCUGAUGCGCGAAAGCCAGGGGAGCAAACGGG
rnacentral:rRNA from 1 species